CGAAUCCCCGAGGGCUUGCUCUCGGGGGGAAGUGGCGAAAGGGGCAGUAAGGCGUGGGUAACCUACCCCGGGGAUGGGCAUAGCCGUCCUAACGGACGGGUAAUUCUCAGCGAUCUGACGGGACCGCAUGAUUCUGUCAGCAAAUGAAUUUCGCCCUGGGAGGGGCUCACGUGGUAUUAGCUAGUUGGUAGGGUAAUGGCCUACCAAGGCGUUGAUGCCUAGCUGGUGUGAGAGCAUGACCAGCGCCACUGGCACUGAGACACUGGCCAGACUCCUACGGGAGGCUGCAGCCGAGAAUCUUCGGCAAUGGGCGCAAGCCUGACCGAGCGACGCUGCGUGUGCGAUGAAGGCCUUCGGGUUGUAAAGCACUGUCGAGGGGGAGAAAAGGGCAACCUUGAUCUAUCCCUGGAGGAAGCACGGGCUAAGUUCGUGCCAGCAGCCGCGGUAAGACGAACCGUGCGAACGUUGUUCGGAAUCACUGGGCUUAAAGGGCGCGUAGGCGGUCUACCAAGUCGGGGGUGAAAUCUUUCGGCUCAACCGGAAAAGUGCCUUCGAUACUGGUAGACUAGAGUGGGGUAGGGGCAGAUGGAACUUCCGGUGGAGCGGUGAAAUGUGUUGAUAUCGGAACGGAACGCCGGUGGCGAAAGCGAUCUGCUGGACCUCUUCUGACGCUGAGGCGCGAAAGCCAGGGGAGCAAACGGGAUUAGAUACCCCGGUAGUCCUGGCCCUAAACGAUGGGUACUGAGUAGUGGACUUGCAUGGGUCCACUGCUGAAGCAAAAGUGGUAA
rnacentral:rRNA from 1 species